rnacentral:lncRNA from 1 species
AGACGCCUCAAAUCGCGGGGGCACAGGGAGAGCGGUCAGAUGUCCUGCAGGCAGAACCCCAGGGGAACCACUCCCAGGGGUGAAACCGUGCUGACUCGGAGGUAGUGUGCCACUUGGAAGCAGUGGGACCGUCUGGUGGUAGAUGCUUCACUUCUUCAUUUAUGACUCCACAUUCGUGGAAGAGAGCAAAGGACAACAGAGCAGGAAUGUGUUUCGAGGAGCCAACAAAUCCAAACCCCUCUGCAGACAAGAAAUGAACGACAAUUUUAUGUCUAAAAUGAAAAGAGCUACCAAUCAUCUUUUAGAUUAAAAAAAAAACUUAUAGAAGGAACAACAAAUGCUGGAUGAUAGUUAUUUUAACAAACCUAUUUCUGAAAUGUUUCUGGCUUCCAUAUGCCUCUGGCUUUUAGGAAAGCACAAGUGGCCUGCUUGGGGUCCCUCCUGGCUUGCUGGACUUCCCGUCACUUUUUGCCUGUCGUCUUCCAUGGUUCCUGCAUGGAUCUUGUUGCCUCAGGACCAAGCUGCCUUUGCUUUUCCACAAUGUCCAUGACUAUGUGGGGAAGGAAAUGGACCCUCAUGCUGACAGCGCAUGUCCACGUUACUAGUUUCCUUUAGAAAACCAUCUCCAAUGGGCCAGGCACGGUGGCUCAUGACUGUAAUCCCAGCACUUUGGGAGGCCAAGGCUGGCAGAUCACAAGGUCAUGAAAUCGAGACCAGCCUGACCAACAUGGUGAAACCCCAUCUCUACUAAUAAUACAAGAAUUAGCUGGGCAUGGUGGCACGCACCUGUAAUCCCAGCUACUCAGGAGGCUGAGGCAGGAGAAUUGCUUGAACCCGGGAGGUGGAGGUUGCAGUGAGCCGAGAUUGCGCCACUGCACUCCAGCCUGGUUAGGGAGCGAGACUGGUCUCAGAAAAAAAAAAAAAAAAGAAAGAAAACCAUCUCCAACCUUAACUCCAGGGGCGCCAUUCAUACCCUGUUCUAUAGAACCUGCCCAAGGUGUGCUCCUGAAGAAAGGGAAGGUGCUGACCUAAUGGCUCCGAGAACAGUAUUUUUGAUAAAGUGCAGUCUCUCAGCAAGUGUCCUCAAAGUGCUGGCCUUGCUCAUGCAGUAGAGCUGGGAAAGCUUAUUUGGGACUUGGGUACCACAUAAGAAAUAAAGAGGGAAUGUCAUACUAGCAGGACUUUUGACAAAAAAAGCCUGGUAUGAGAGGCCCUGACACUAAUAUGAUUCCUAUUCUCACUCAAGUUAAUAGAUCAUUUAACCAAUAGCAAAAAGAACCGGAAGUGUCCUCCCAAAGAGUACACUAUGGAAAGGGUGGGGGGAUGGAGUACCUUUACAGUGGAGAAAAGUACCCUUACACCACCUCUGCAGGGGAUCUAGGUCAACAUCAGCAGUUACAAGUUACAUUGACAGCAUGUGGCCUUGAUAUGAUGUGAUGAGAAUGGCUCUUCACCCCUGUGGUCUUCCUCCACAAAACCCAUAGCCCCAGUUAAAUCAUGAAAAAAGCAUCAGACAGACCCCAAUUGUGACCAGCACUCCUCAAAAUUAUCAGGGUCCUCAAAAAAAGGAAAGUCUGAGAAACUGUCACAGUCAAGAGGAGCCUCAGGAGACAAUGAAAACUAAGUGUCAUGUGGAAGUUUGAACAGAAUCCUGGAACAGAAAAUGGACAUCAGGUAAAAACUAAGAAAAUCUAGAUAGUGUGGACUUCAGUGAAUAACAAUGUGUUGAUAUUGAUUCAUUAAUUGUGACAAAUCCACUACGCUAAUUGCCUUAGUCUGUUCAGGCUGCAAUAACAAAAUACCAUGGACUGAGUGGCUUAUACACAACAGAAAUUUAUUUCUCACAGUUCUGGAUGCUGGGAAGUCUAAGACCAAGGCACUGCCAGAUUUGGUGUCUGGUGAAGGUCCAUCUCCUGGUCCAAACAUGGCUCCUUCUCACUGUGUCUUCCCAUGGUGGAAGGGACAAGAAUUUCUAAUUCCACUCAUGAGUGCUCUGAUCCCAAGACCUAAUCACCUACCAAAGCCCCCACCUUCUGAUAGCAUUACCUUGGGGCUUAGGAUUUGAACAUAUGAACUGGGGAGGACUCUGGGGAAACACAUUUAAACCACAGCACUAAUGUAGGAUGUUAAUAAUAAAGGAAACUGGGUGUGGGGUUUAUGGAAACUCUCUUAACUUGGUAUGAGGUAUAUGCAAACUCUCUUUAAUAUCUUCAGAAUUUUCCUGUAAACUUUAACUUUAAUCUGAACUUCUAAAAAUUAUAGUUAUACACGCAUACACAGAGAGAGAGAGAGAGAGAGCGAGAGAGAGAGAGAGAGAGAGAGAGAAGUUAUACAUAGCCUUCGUGUUGCAGGUCUAGCCUACACUUCUAGCCUUAUUCCCCCUGUUUAAACCUUAUAAGUCAGCCAAUAUAAUGAAAUUUCCUUAAGGUCAAGAUGCUACUAUGUUUAUUCUCCAAAAAAUUUGAAAAAUAAAUGAGUUUUCUUAAUUUCUUAGAAGACUCAAUAAAGUUGAGAUCAUAAAGUGUAAGUUAAGGAAGAAUUCUACCUGAAGAGACUCAUGAAACAAAAAUGAUGGUGAGGAAAGGGAGUGCUGUUUCAUUGACUAGAAAAGAAUUAGCAAAUUAAUCAGCACAUUGCCUUUUAAAUGUUCCACUUCAAGAGAUGCACACAUUUUCAGGCCCAAUGGUAUCGUCACUUCCAAUAAAGCUUUAUUGGUGGUAUCUGGAGAACGCUAUCCUAUUAUAUCCUUGGCUAAGCUCACAUAUGAGAGACUCUUUAAAGGAACAAUGCAAUAGUCUUGAUAUUCAUUGCAGACACUGGUUCUUGCCUACUCAAUAAUUAUUCCCUCACCUUCCUGACAAAGAACCCGACUUGUUCAGGUAUCUCACAAUGUGCUCAGGAAAGGUGGGCUCUUCCCCAGGUCCAUGUGGUUAACCAGAACUGCUCUAAAACAUCGUGAGAAUCCCAUUCACCUUUGCCAGUGAUUGGUUUAAGGGUAGGGAGAUUACCCAAUUCUGAACAAUGAUAUAGGAGAAGAAAGAAAUUUACUAGGGGAUUGAUGGGAACAGGUUAUUUUGUUCACUAUACAGGGACACAUAGUGAGAGGUGACAAUGUGCUAGCAGCCCUCACUCACUCUCAGCACCUCCUCAAGUGUGGGCGUGUGGCGUGGGACUGGCAGGCAGCUCUGCCCAUGGCCCCGAUGUGGGAUCCACUAGGCGAAGCCAGCUGGGCUCCUGAGUCAGGUGGGGACUUGGAGAACUUUUAUGUCUAGCUAAAGGUUUGUAAAUGCACCAAUUAGCACUUUGUGUCUAGCUCAAGGUUUGUAAAUGCACCAAUCAGCACCCUGUGUCUAGCUCAAGGUUUGUAAAUGCACCAAUCAGUGCUCUGUGUCUAGCUAAUCUAGUGGGGACUUGGAGAACUUUUACAUCUAGCUAGAGGAUUGUAAAUACACCAAUCAGCACUCUGUGUCUAGUUCAGGGAUUGUAAAUGCACCAAUCAGCACCCUGUCAAAACAGACCAAUCAGCUCUCUGUAAAACGGACCAAUCAGUUCUCUGUAAAAUGGGCCAAUCAGCAGGAUGUGGGUGGGGUCAGAUAAAGGAAUAAAAGCAGGCUGCCCAAGCCAGCAGUGGCAACCCGCUGGGGUGCCCUUCCACACUGUAGAAGCUCUGUUCUUUCGCUCUUUGCAAUAAAUCUUGCUGCUGCUAACUCUUUGGGUCCACACUGCCUUUAUGAGCUGUAACACUCACCGCGAAGGUCUGCAACUUCACUCCUGAAGCCAGCGAGACCACGAACCCACCAGAAGGAAGAAACUCAGAACACAUCUGAACAUCAGAAGGAACAAGCGCUGGACCCACCACCUUUAAGAACUGUAACACUCCCCACGAGAGUCCACAGCUUCAUUCUUGAAGUCAGUGAGACCAAGAACCCACCAAUUCCGGACGCUUUUUGGCGACCCAGAUGGGACUAUCGCCUAUCACCAAGUCGUGAGACCAUUGCCUAUCACUGAGUGGUGAGACUGUCACCUAUCGCCAAGCAGUGAGUACCAUCAGACCCCUUUUGCUUGCUAUUCUGUCGUAUUUUUCCUUAGAAUUUGGGGGCUAAAUACCGGGCACCUGUCGGCCAGUUAAAAGCGACUAGCAUGGCCGCUGGACUAAAGAAACGGGUGUCAAGC